CCUACGGGUGGCAGCAGUGAGGAAUAUUGGUCAAUGGGCUUACGCCUGAACCAGCCAAGUCGCGUGAGGGAAGACUGCCCUAUGGGUUGUCAACCUCUUUUGUCAGGGAGCAAUUGGCGCUACGUGUAUCGUUAUCGAGAGUACCUGAAGAAAAAGCAUCGGCUAACUCCGUGCCAGCAGCCGCGGUAAUACGGAGGAGGCAAGCGUUAUCCGGAAUGACUGGGCGUAAAGGGUGCGUAGGUGGUUUGACAAGUUAGUAGCGCAACUCCGGAGCUCAACUUCGGAACUACUACUAAAACUGUUGGACUUGAGUGCAGGAGGGGCAAUCGGAAUGCCUAGUGUAGCGGUGGAAUGCGUAGAUAUUAGGAGGAACACCAGUGGCGAAGGCGGAUUGCUAGACUGUAACUGACACUGAGGCACGAAAGCGUGGGGAGCAAACAGGAUUAGAUACCCGGGUAGUC
rnacentral:rRNA from 1 species